GGCAACCAAGAAGAAGCCCAGCGACAAACUUCUUGAAGUUUGGUGAUUUCUUUCCCCUCCCCCUCCCUAAAAAUCAGAGCCAAUGCUUCCGGGAUCCUAACGAUUCAGAUCCAGGCACAAAAACCAUUUUAAUGCUGGCACUACAUCCUUGCAUGCCGAGGGAGCAGAGGACCACUGAGAGGAAGUAA